GAUGAACGCUGGCGGCAUGCCUAACACAUGCAAGUCGAACGAGACCUUCGGGUCUAGUGGCGCACGGGUGCGUAACGCGUGGGAAUCUGCCCUUGGGUUCGGAAUAACUCAGAGAAAUUUGAGCUAAUACCGGAUGAUGACGAAAGUCCAAAGAUUUAUCGCCCAGGGAUGAGCCCGCGUAAGAUUAGCUUGUUGGUAGGGUAAUGGCCUACCAAGGCGACGAUCUUUAGCUGGUCUGAGAGGAUGAUCAGCCACACUGGGACUGAGACACGGCCCAGACUCCUACGGGAGGCAGCAGUGGGGAAUAUUGGACAAUGGGCGAAAGCCUGAUCCAGCAAUGCCGCGUGAGUGAUGAAGGCCUUAGGGUUGUAAAGCUCUUUUACCAGGGAUGAUAAUGACAGUACCUGGAGAAUAAGCUCCGGCUAACUCCGUG
rnacentral:rRNA from 1 species